GUCACUCAGUCAGUUCUGAUUCAAAGUAGGAAAACACUAUACGCAUGCGGGUUGUAGGAGGUAUAGGUCAUUGGGCGCCAUCUUGGAGUCUACCUAUCAGAAAUGAAGAAGUGAACCACACCCAUACAAUAUUCUAUAGACCCUUCCCUCUAAGAAUAAGUGUCAGAAAAUUAGGCCUGCAUCACUCUCAAGCGUCACAAGAAAUCUGAUGUUAGUAACAAGAUGAUGACUGGAUUGAAGAUGAGCAUCUGAUAAUGAACAUUAAUGAAUUCAAGAAUAAACUCUGGGACAUGUCUGUCUUUGUUAAACUUCAAGCAGAUGAGUAGCUCUUUCCUUUCUUAUUUGAAACUCUGUCUUCCUUCUUCCCUUGUCUUCAAUCCUUUCUCCCCAUCUCUGAACAUUUCUGUUUUCAUGCUUCUUGGAUUUGGACACGUUGAACACAGCUCACCAUGCCUCUGGGUUUGAAGACCUCCUUUGGAGUGUCAAGAAAGUUGAGGUGGUUUGCCAGAUGAAUUAUUAUUGACGGAGUCAAACCUGCUCUGGGUAAAAUGGUGAAAAUAAACAGAACCACAUCAAGGCAGAAACCUCCAGAUCAUCUCGAUCUUCAAUCCCCACACAACAUACAUGCAGUCAAAAAAUUUCUAGAAAUUCUACCUCCACAAUGUCUUCAGUCUGUUCACCUACCUCCAUCCUCACUAUCAUCACCAUAGGUAUCUCAAGAUCUGUUCUCAUCUAGAAACUCACCACAGUUCCCCUAACUGGCACCUUAUUUUCAACCCUGGUCCUUACAGGACAUUCUCCACGCAGCAGACAAGGUCUCCCACACAGCCCAACAACUGCACUUCCUAUUGAUUGAGUCCAGACAACGGCUGUUAAUGUUGUACUCGAGGAGAGCAGCACAUUCUGCAGCAAAAUGCAAGCUCAUGGUACCUCUCAGGGUGGUGAAGAAAGGCAGCCCUGCUCUGGGCACCAUGCCACACCUCUGCCCGUGUAGCCAUGGACACUGAUGGCCGUGCUGUCCAGGACACAGCAGGGUCAGGAGCACAUGGUGUAGUUUGAAGUGAAGAAAAGAGUAGAAGCCAGUAGUUUCCAUGGAUGAGACUAAGUUACAGAAUGUUCUACACAUUGGUUCACAUUUACUGUCGGCCAAUAUUUCCCAAAGUAUAUUCAGUGGAAUAUUGGAUGUGUGAUAUACAAAUAUUCUGGACCUCCCUGGUGGUGCAGCAGGUUGAGCACAGUACUGUGGAGCUGUCUGCAGCCUCUGCAGUGCAGGUUUGAUUCCCAGCUGGCCAAGGAGAUACCCACAUUGUGCGACAGACCUCUCCUGUCUUACCUGCUGCUCCCCUCAGCAGUGUUUUCAGUCAUCUGCCUGUUCUGCUUCCUGCUCUGUCUGUGGUGAAUCCUCCCACCCUCCCGUGCCUCUG